GCCAGGUGUGGUGGCGCAUGCCUGUACCCUAGCUGCUCUAGAGGCUGAGGCAGGAGGAUUGCGAGUUCAAAGCCAGCCUCAACAAAAGUAAGCAAAAGCUAAGCAACUCAGUAAGACUCUGUCUCUA
rnacentral:sRNA from 1 species